rnacentral:rRNA from 1 species
GACUACAUGAAGCUGGAAUCGCUAGUAAUCGCGAAUCAGAAUGUCGCGGUGAAUACGUUCCCGGGUCUUGUACACACCGCCCGUCACACCAUGGGAGUCGGUAACACCCAAAGUUGGUAGCCUAACCGCAAGGAGGGCGCCGCCUAAGGUGGGAUUGAUGACUGGGGUGAAGUCGUAACAAGGUACC